GUGGGGGCCAGAUAAGAGAAUAAACGCAGCCUGCCCGAGCUGGCAGUGGUAGUUUGCUCCGGUUUCUUUCCACACUGUGGAAGUUUUAUUUUUUUGCUCUUUGGGGUAAAUCUGGCUGCUGUUUAUACUUUGGGUCCACACUGCCUCUAUGAGCUGUAACUCUCGCCGCGAAGGUCUCUAGCUUCACUCCUGAACCAGCGAGAUCACGACCCUACCAGAAGGAAGAAACUCCGAACACAUCUGAACAUCAGAAGGAGCAAACUCCAGAUACGCCGCCUUUAGGAACUGUAACACAUACCGCAAGGGUCCGCGGCUUCAUUCUUGAAGUCAGUGAGACCAAGAACUUACCAAUUCCAGACACAGUUUUAGUAUUUGUUAGUAAAAGUACGGCCCCAAUAUUGCACGGGACAUACGUAUACUAAAUUGUUACUAUCUGAAAUUCACAUUUAACUGGAUGUUCUGUAUUUUCAUCUGGCUACUUUGACAACCCCUCUGAGGAGUUGUGUGACAAAGGGAGCAGAGAUGGGCGGUAGUUGCUAGAGAGGCAUGGUAUCAAGGAAAAAGUCUGUUUUAAGAUGGGAGCUAUUAACAAAACAUGUAAAGAGGGAACCGCUGAUGCAGGAGAGAGGGAGCAACUGCAGAGCAAGUCUUUGAGAAAGGGCAUCCACAUUAAUCUGGAUAAAGGCUGCUUCUUCAGCCACAGCUAAGGUGCAUGUAAUAGGAAUGAGAGCCACCUGUGUUUCAGAAAGCGUCUGGGAUUUUAGAGCUGCUUGUAACUGCAGCCUAACACAGCCUCAGCCGACUGAUACAUCCAGUGUCGUCAAAACAGAGCAGUUAUCCUUCAUGAAUUCCACUGGGGAUUCUGCUAUACAGCUUCAUAAGAAACUCUGGGGGUAUCAUAUCUCAAACCAAGCUCCAUCUUCUUCCUCCAGUUUAAAAGACCAGCAUCUUCAUGGAGACAGUGACUGAAACCACAAAGGUGCUCUCCAUCACCAUCCCCAUUCUAUCAAGCAAGGAGGCCUGUUGAACCAAGCAGCCGGCUCAUUGUUUGAGAAACAGUUGUUUCAUGGGUGAAUUGACCUCAUCUUCGGCAGCCACCGGUUUGCUAAGCAUUUACUUUGAACAUUUCUAUG
rnacentral:lncRNA from 1 species